GACUUUUACACAGCAGGUAUUUGACCUGCUGAGUUCUGCACUGCUGCUGUCGCGAGAAAUGAGGGAGGCCUGUGUGCCAUCCAUCCCCAUAAUUUAUCGAGGCUACUGGUGGAAACCGGCCUGUGCGAUGCAGGUUCGGACAGCGCCUGCUGCCUCCCAGAUCUAACCACGUACUCUUGUUCACUCAAGGAGCCGACGUGAACAUGGGGAAGCGAUUAGACACCCCCCUUCAUGCGGCAGCAAGAAAAUCCAGCGUGGAAGUAGUUGUUUUGCUGACAGACUAUGGUGCUAACCCAAAAUGCAGAAAUGCUGAACUCAGAUGUGCCCUGGAUCUUGCCGUACCCAACAGCAAAGUGGAGCAGGUGCUUCUGCUGCGGGAAGGUCCUGCCAGCCUUGCCCAGCUGUGCCGGUUGUGUAUCAGAAAGCAUCUGGGUCGGUCGUGCCUAUAUGCAGUCCACAAGCUGCACCUACCUGAGCCACUUGAGAACUUUCUUCUUUAUCGAUAAGUCUGUGACUAUCUUUACCCUGGAAAAGAAAGAGGAACAAAUGGUUGUUACUCCAAAACUAUUAUAUCAAAGAAAAAAAUCAAAGACAUCAUUUACUGUCUACUGUGGAUACCAAACAUCAGCUGCUACAUGACAGUGCAAAUUGAAAGCACCUUUCACAGUGAAUGAUAUUAUGGGUAAAGUUCCCUCACAGUAUAUUGCCACAUCUACUUAUGCCAGCCUGGGCAGUUGUGGUACAUGAACAACGCACUUGACAUGUUUGUAGAUGCACACAUCCACCCGCCCACAGGCGCGCACACAGAGCUUUCCCCUGCAUUUAGUGUGAUAUUUAUUCAUGCAGUAUCUGUGCAUCUUCCUCGUCUUGCCUAUCCCAUCUCAUUGUCAAAAAUCAAGGCAGUGGCUGUUAUUCUUCCACUAGUGUGAGAAUGGAAGUCUCCAGUGCCCAAUGUCAGCCAUAUAUGAUAUAUUGCACAUCUGUUGUUCACAUCCUGCCAUCUCUUUCCCAUAGUCUAGCGGAGCUGCAGCAACUUCCAGCAGGCUCUGGCUGUCCAGCCGCUGUACGUGCCCUCGUCCUCAGCCCAGCUGCCCCCAGCGCUAACACAUCUUGUCCUCUGAAGUGCAAGUGAUGUUACCAAAGCGGGUGUGGGGUGUUUGGAGUAAGCCCACAAAAAUGUGUGAAAGUCUUAAAAAAACCUUCAUCUCUUCUAAAAAAAAUCCCUCCUAAGCUAUAUCACCUGAGAUCUGGCUGCGUUCAUUACACGAAUGAUUUUUCUUAGCUUAAUUCCAGGAUGGAAUUGCAAAUGUUUUCAUAGGCCCAGCAGGUCAGCUUUCAAGGUCUGUCCUUUGCAAGGUUUAAAGAAAAGCAAAGGAAUGCGUUGCUGCUCU
rnacentral:lncRNA from 1 species